rnacentral:rRNA from 1 species
AACGAACGCUGGCGGCAUGCCUAACACAUGCAAGUCGAACGAGACCUUCGGGUCUAGUGGCGCACGGGUGCGUAACGCGUGGAAACCUGCCCUUAGGUUCGGAAUAACUCCCCGAAAGGGGUGCUAAUACCGGAUAAUGUCUUCGGACCAAAGAUUUAUCGCCUUUGGAUGGGCCUGCGUUGGAUUAGCUAGUUGGUAGGGUAAAAGCCUACCAAGGCGACGAUCCAUAGCUGGUCUGAGAGGAUGAUCAGCCACACUGGGACUGAGACACGGCCCAGACUCCUACGGGAGGCAGCAGUGGGGAAUAUUGGACAAUGGGCGAAAGCCUGAUCCAGCAAUGCCGCGUGAGUGAUGAAGGCCUUAGGGUUGUAAAGCUCUUUUACCCGGGAUGAUAAUGACAGUACCGGGAGAAUAAGCUCCGGCUAACUCCGUG